rnacentral:rRNA from 1 species
CCUACGGGAGGCAGCAGUGAGGAAUAUUGGGCAAUGGAGGAGACUCUGACCCAGCCAUGCCGCGUGUAGGAAGAAUGCCCUAUGGGUUGUAAACUACUUUUAUACAGGAAGAAACACUGGUAUGUAUACCAGCUUGACGGUACUGUAAGAAUAAGGACCGGCUAACUCCGUGCCAGCAGCCGCGGUAAUACGGAGGGUCCAAGCGUUAUCCGGAAUCAUUGGGUUUAAAGGGUCCGUAGGCGGCCUUAUAAGUCAGUGGUGAAAUCUCCUAGCUCAACUAGGAAACUGCCAUUGAUACUGUAAGGCUUGAAUUUUUGUGAAGUAACUAGAAUAUGUAGUGUAGCGGUGAAAUGCUUAGAUAUUACAUGGAAUACCAAUUGCGAAGGCAGGUUACCAACAAACGAUUGACGCUGAUGGACGAAAGCGUGGGGAGCGAACAGGAUUAGAUACCCUGGUAGUCCAUGCGGUAAACGGUGGGCACUAGGUGUGGGUUUCUAUUAACGAAAUCCGCGCCGUCGCUAACGCAUUAAGUGCCCCGCCUGGGGAGUACGGUCGCAAGACUAAAACUCAAAGGAAUUGACGG